rnacentral:rRNA from 1 species
CAGUCGCCACGGUAAUACGUAGGUGGCAAGCGUUGUCCGGAAUUACUGGGCGUAAAGCGUGCGCAGGCGGUCCGUUAAGACAGAUGUGAAAUCCCCGGGCUUAACCUGGGAACUGCAUUUGUGACUGGCGGGCUAGAGUAUGGCAGAGGGGGGUAGAAUUCCACGUGUAGCAGUGAAAUGCGUAGAGAUGUGGAGGAAUACCGAUGGCGAAGGCAGCCCCCUGGGCCAAUACUGACGCUCAUGCACGAAAGCGUGGGGAGCAAACAGGAUUAGAUACCCCAGUAGUCCCUGUCUCUUAUAC